UCUCCGUUGGUGAACCAGCGGAGGGAUCAUUACCGAGUGCAAACUCAUAACCCUUUGUGAACCUAUAUCUGUUGCUUCGGCGGCUCGCUCUCGGGCGAGCCCGCCGGUAAUAUCAGUGUCUCUGUUCGAACCCGACGAUACUUCUGAGUGUUCUUAGCGAACAGUUAAAACUUUUAACAACGGAUCUCUUGGCUCUA
rnacentral:misc_RNA from 1 species